rnacentral:misc_RNA from 1 species
AUAUUGAGAAUAGUUGCACCAAAAUAAUAAACUAAAUGAAAAUAAAUAAACACAAUAACAUCAGGAUAUUGGUAGCCAAACUGCAUCAUCAAAACAAGAUAAUACAAUGACAUGAAAGUAAGAACUAAUCUACAAUCCACAAGACAAUAACUCGGAGGUUAAAAGCAUGACAAGAAUCUUUUCCUUUAUGCAUUAUAAGUUUGUCUGGAAGUGUCAACAAAAAUUGAGCUACAAUGACAUGAGCCCAAAUAAAGCGUUGUUGAACAUAACAUACAAAGACAUAAAGCCAUAUAAACCAAAUAGUACUAAAUGAUGAGGGUGAAGCCUAGCACGACACCGAACAUGGAUACAAAGGGCAAAUUUACAUUCAACAGUUACAACAAAUCCAUUAGUAUUCCAGGCCAGCAGAGAAAUUCUAAUCUAUGAAUAGCUUGAAUUAAAAUUUCAAGCUUUUCUUAGUAAUGUUUCACAAGAAGUAAGCAGACCGAUGUAAGCAGAAAUAGUAAAAUUUUCCAUAUAAUCAUGACACAACAUUAAGUCUACA